UACGAAGGGUGCAAGCGUUGCUCGGAAUUAUUGGGCGUAAAGGGCAGGUAGGUGGUCUUAUUUGUCUAGGGUGAAAUCCCAGGGCUUAACCCUGGAAGUGCCUUAGAAACGGUAGGACUAGAGUUCUAGAGAGGGUCGUGGAAUUCCCGGUGUAGCGGUGAAAUGCGCAGAUAUCAGGAAGAACACCCGUGGCGAAGGCGGCUCUCUGGGACGGUACUGACGCUGAGACGCGAAAGCGUGGGGAGCGAACAGG
rnacentral:rRNA from 1 species